CUUGACCGUACCUUCAGAGGAAGCCCCGGCUAACUACGUGCCAGCAGCCGCGGUAAUACGUAGGGGGCAAGCGUUGUCCGGAUUUACUGGGUGUAAAGGGCGCGCAGGCGGGUCGGUCAGUCAGAGGUGAAAGCCUGCAGCUUAACUGCAGAACUGCCUUUGAUACUGCCGAUCUUGAGUUCGGAAGAGAGAAGCGGAAUUCCAGGUGUAGUAGUGAAAUACGUAGAUAUCUGGAAGAACACCGGUGGCGAAGGCGGCUUCUUGGUCCGCAACUGACGCUCAAGCGCGAAAGCGUGGGUAGCAAACAGGAUUAGGGACCCUGGUAGUCCACGCUGUAAACGAUGAUUACUAGGUGUCGGAUGGUAACAUUCGGCGCCGCAGCUAACGCAUUAAGUAAUCCACCUGGGGAGUACGAU
rnacentral:rRNA from 1 species